CCCUUAGAUGUCCUGGGCCGCACGCGCGCUACACUGAUGCAUGCAACGAGUUUAUAACCUUGGCCUGAAAGGUCUGGGUAAUCUUUUGAACGAGCAUCGUGAUAGGGAUAGAUUAUUGCAAUUGCUAAUCUUGAACGAGGAAUUCCUAGUAAACGCGAGUCAUCAGCUCGCAUUGAUUACGUCCCUGCCCUUUGUACACACCGCCCGUCGCACCUACCGAUUGAAUGGUUCGGUGAAGAUCUCGGACUUCGAUAUUUAUUCUUUAUUGAGUUUAUAUUGUGGGAAGUUAUCUAAACCUCAUCAUUUAGAGGAAGGUGAAGUCGUAACA
rnacentral:rRNA from 1 species